UCUCUCUCUCUCUCUCUCUCUCUAUCUCUAUAUCUCUCUCUCUCGCUCUCACACACACACGCACAAAUUAUUGUCCAUUUAUAAUGAUUAAAUUAUUGUCCAUUUAAUAUGGUGACAUUGUAUCAUAAUUUUACUAAAAAGAUUUUUAGAGUAAAUUAAUCAAACAUCACUUUUAUUUUAUUUUAUUUUGGUCAUUUAAUUUAAACACUUUUUAAAAUUUAUUGAAUUAAUUCUUAAAAACUUUUUAAAAUUAGUCAUGACAUCUCUCAAGUUUAGUCCAAAAAAUGUAAAGAUUAAUUAAACAAAUUUUAAAAUUCAGAAAAUACCCAAGUUAAAAGACGAAAAUUGAAAGCUAUAAGGAUGAAUUUACCCAUUUUCUGUAGCUUAAAUCUUGUGCGGAGUGCCAUUUUGAUCGGUCUUAUUAUGUUAUUGAUGAUAUACUAUUAUUAUUAUAUUUGCGUGACGAUUUAUUUCAUGGAAAAGGAGAAAAGAGGCGGCUCCAGGCUCCACAAUACAGCUGUAAUCAGCAGUAAUGCAUCACCAUUGGCCUAAAUUUUCAAACCGUGUUCUUCUUUUAAACUUAGAAAAUUAUUACUAUUUUUAAUAAAUAGCAGCAGCCAGCAGGAGAAAAGCAACCAGAAUUAAAGAGAAAAAGGGUAAAAUCCCUGUCGGCGUAGGAUCAUGUGGGUGUGGCGAGUAGCAACAUUGGCAGCAGAAAUUUGGUUCACUCGUUUCUGUCGGUGGUGGAACCAAGCAAGCAAUGGCAUGAUGGCAGUGCCUGCCUGGUGACAGCAAAAUUACUGUCUCCAAUCCAAACACAAGAACCGAAACAUCAUCAAUCACUUCACUAAGUAGUAGAAUCAUUCAUCUUACUUCACACAUUGGUCAACACACUUACAAAUAUAUAUUACUAUUAAAUCAUUCUGA